rnacentral:rRNA from 1 species
CCUACGGGAGGCUGCAGUGAGGAAUAUUGGUCAAUGGACGAGAGUCUGAACCAGCCAAGUAGCGUGAAGGAUGACUGCCCUAUGGGUUGUAAACUUCUUUUAUAAAGGAAUAAAACGAGGCACGUGUGCCUUUUUGCAUGUACUUUAUGAAUAAGGAUCGGCUAACUCCGUGCCAGCAGCCGCGGUAAUACGGAGGAUCCGAGCGUUAUCCGGAUUUAUUGGGUUUAAAGGGAGCGUAGAUGGGUUGUUAAGUCAGUUGUGAAAGUUUGCGGCUCAACCGUAAAAUUGCAAUUGAUACUGGCAGUCUUGAGUACAGUUGAGGUAGGCGGAAUGCGUGGUGUAGCGGUGAAAUGCGUAGAGAUCACGAAGAACCCCGAUUGCGAAGGCAGCUUACUAAACUGUGACUGACAUUGAUGCUCGAAAGUGUGGGUAGCAAACAGGAUUAGAUACCCUAGUAGUC